CCAGAUGAUUCUUCCACUGUUUUCAGUCACACUAACAAGCCUCCACAAACAGUAACUUCUUUUCAUCUCCAGUCUCUCUGGCUUCUCUUUUCCCCUUUUCAGCAAUAGGCUGCCCACCGAGGGCUGAAGCAGUCCCUGACCAGGACCCUGAAUGGACAAUACCCCAGGGGCCUCCUUGCUGGCCACCCUUAAAGAGGCACUUGUCUCCAACGUUGGUGGCCCGAGUUCAAUCCAGAGGUCCCACAUGGUGGAAGGUGAGAACUGACUCCCCGUGUUUCCUGGACUCCACAAAGGAAAGAAGUGAGGAACAGAGGGAGAAGGAAAGAUUAUAGUUGAGAACAUUAAAAUAACUGCAGAAAAGGAGGCUGCAGGGUGCACACAUUGAAGAAGAGGCACAGUAGCAGAAUGAUUCCUGAGAAGGCCAGAGAAAAUGGGACCCAGACAUCUGGCACUACUAGUGUCAUCUAGGAAUUACUUUACUGUCACCAUCUGUCGAAAAUGAAAAUACUCAGAUGUCCCUCUAUCUACUGGAUCAAACUCUCCAUCUGAGGAAGAGUCUAGGUACAGUUGUUAAUCAAGCUCGGGAUGCUCUGAUGGAGAACUAAGCUCUGUUCCACUGGGAGAACAGGAGGGCCCAUGAUGGCUGAUUUACAUCUGAUGUCAGGAACUGGCAACAGAAGUCUAAAGUGCUGUUUAGACCGAUCUCAAGAGGGAAAAUAAAUGAAUCCCUACAAGUCCAA